GAUGAACGCUGGCGGCGUGCUUAACACAUGCAAGUCGAACGAUGACCCCGUGCUUGCCCGGGUGAUUAGUGGCGAACGGGUGAGUAACACGUGAGUAACCUGCCCCCGACUUUGGGAUAAGCCCGGGAAACUGGGUCUAAUACCGGAUAUGACUUCUUACCGCAUGGUGGGUUGUUGAAAGAUUUAUCGGUGGGGGAUGGACUCGCGGCCUAUCAGCUUGUUGGUGAGGUAAUGGCUCACCAAGGCGACGACGGGUAGCCGGCCUGAGAGGGUGACCGGCCACACUGGGACUGAGACACGGCCCAGACUCCUACGGGAGGCAGCAGUGGGGAAUAUUGCACAAUGGGCGAAAGCCUGAUGCAGCGACGCCGCGUGAGGGAUGACGGCCUUCGGGUUGUAAACCUCUUUCAGUAGGGAAGAAGCGAAAGUGACGGUACCUGCAGAAGAAGCGCCGGCUAACUACGUG
rnacentral:rRNA from 1 species